rnacentral:rRNA from 1 species
UAGUCAUAUGCUUGUCUCAAAGAUUAAGCCAUGCAUGUCUAAGUAUAAGCAAUCUAUACGGUGAAACUGCGAAUGGCUCAUUAAAUCAGUUAUCGUUUAUUUGAUAGUACCUUACUACUUGGAUAACCGUGGUAAUUCUAGAGCUAAUACAUGCUAAAAACCCCGACUUCGGAAGGGGUGUAUUUAUUAGAUAAAAAACCAAUGCCCUUCGGGGCUCCUUGGUGAUUCAUAAUAACUUAACGAAUCGCAUGGCCUUGUGCCGGCGAUGGUUCAUUCAAAUUUCUGCCCUAUCAACUUUCGAUUGUAAGGUAGUGGCUUACAAUGGUUUCAACGGGUAACGGGGAAUUAGGGUUCUAUUCCGGAGAGGGAGCCUGAGAAACGGCUACCACAUCCAAGGAAGGCAGCAGGCGCGCAAAUUACCCAAUCCCGACACGGGGAGGUAGUGACAAUAAAUACUGAUACAGGGCUCUUUUGGGUCUUGUAAUUGGAAUGAGUACAAUUUAAAUCCCUUAAC